rnacentral:lncRNA from 1 species
GGGCUGUUCGGCCAAGCGCCCGCCGGACAUGGGACGCUGGAGGGUCAGCGGCGUGAAGUCCUCGCCUUCAGCGUCCACGGCUGGGAAAUUGGCUAUCGCCACGGCGGGAACUAGGACUCUGGCUGUGUCCCGGCCCUUCCUCAUCAGUCCACCGGACUCUUGGGCGCGCGCACUGGCGCGGGUGUAGUUUGCUCACCUCUGACCCGUAUUGUCUUGAGAUUAAAGGAAUUGGGAGCUUCUUUUGCUAUUCUUCUAUCUUGGAUGCAUUGGAAGAGCUGCUCCUGGAUCCUGCAGCAGCGAGGAGACCUGAAGACCAGAGGAAACACAGCAAUCCCUGGAUCCUCCUGGAAUCCCCGAUCCCUGUUGCUCCCUCGGGGAGGUUUCUAGUCCCUCUGACUUGAAGCAUGGCUUUCAGAGCCCGGCGCCACCCAGCUUGGGUAUUUGAGACGGGGUUUUGCCAUGUUGCCCAUGCUGGUCUCUAACUCUUGGACUCAAACGAUCCUCCUGCUUUGGCCCCACAAAAUGCUGGGAUUACAGGCAUGAGCCACGGCACCUGGCCAGGAAUUGUUCAUUUUCUUCAGGUUGGAAUGCAGUGGCACGAUCUCGGCUCACUGCAACCUCUGCCUCCCGGGAUCAAGCAAGAUUCUCCUGCCUCAGCCUCCUGAGUACCCGGGAAUACAGACAGAGUAUCGCCCUGUUACCCAGGCUGAAGUGCAGUGGUAAGACCUCGGCUCACUACAACCUCUGCCUCCUAGGUUCAAGAGAUUCUCCUGCCUCAGCCUCCCAAGUAGUUGGGAUUAAACUAAGCUAAACUAUGGGGUUUGGAGGGCUCCUGGAUUAUUGAACACAUAAAGGUUCCUGGAGAGUGGUGCAGCCAGAGAGGGCAUGGAAGCUCUGCACCCCUCCCCCAUCCCUUGUCCUAUGCAUCUCUUCCAUCUGGCUGUUAAUCUACACUCCCUCUAUACCUAUUGACAUACAGUCAACAACAUAAGCAAGAGUCACACACAGUCAAGAAACACCGUUCACGUGGCUGCAAGUGGCCACACACCUAAUGCUAUCACAAUCAUGCACAACGUCAAACAGCCGGCUAGCGCCACACACACACGCACACACGGAGAUGCGCGCGCACACCCACUUGUGCACAGAGACGCACGCACGCACGCAGACACACGUGCGCACAGAGACGCACACACAGACACGUGCGCACACAGAGACGCAAACACAGACACACGUGCACACAGGCAAACAGACGCCAGAGACGCACAGACACACGUGUGCACAGAGAUGCAAACGCAGACACACGCGUGCACACAGUGACGCGCGCACACACAGACACACGCGCGCGCACAGGUCUCGCCCGCGCCAGCUCCGACUCCAGCAGCCUUGGAGUUCCCGCCCAGCCGCGGGCUCCUGGCUCCCUCACCGACUGCAUCUCGCGGGGCGAUCCCGGUCGGGUUCCGCCUGAGCCAAGGCCCCGCACCCAAACCGCGACAGCGGACCCAGAAGCCCGAAGCCCGCAACCCGGCGAAGGAACCCGGACUCAGAGUAGCCUCCGGCACAGAGCCCUCCAAGAAAAGCAGCCCGGGACCCCGACAACCGUGGACAGAGCCGGGGGGGCCAUAAACCCAAACUAGGCAACUCGAGGCAUCAUCAACGGAGGGUCCUUAAGAGACCCUGCACCCAAUCACCCAGGCACCAGGGACUCUGCCAAAGCACGAAUUCGGGCAGGUGGUAGCCUCGAAGCUGGGAGGCUGCAUCACAAGCCUCCUCCUAGAUGCGCGGUGGACCCUGGGAAAUGUAGUCCAGCGCAAGCCACCACCUAGAUGCGCCGUGGACCCUGGGAAAGGUAGUCCAGCGCCAGUCGCCGCCUGGAUGCGCGGUGGACCGUGGGAAAUGUGAUCUGGGUUUUCUGCGCGGGCGCCUUAGGCGCGGAGCUUUCGGGGUUGCAGUGACUGUCCUCCCUUCGAGCCCGCCAGAUCGGAUCCUAGAAUGUCCGGCCGCAGCCCCUUGGCUUAGAACUGGGCCUCUAACGCGGCUGGGGUCAUACACGCCCUCUAGGCGCGGGUUGGUGCACGCGUUGGAAUCUCAGGGGAGGCAGAAAACCCUGCAGCUCUAACCCAGGGAGCUGCCAAAGCGAUUCAGAGGAGCCCGGGGGACGCGUAGCUACAGACCCCGACUCUGCGCAAAUGCAAAUCCAUGGCUCUGGCAAGGGCAGCGAGGCUCGCCGGGUCUGAGGCCGUGGAUCCCUAAACUCAAAAGAAAUAAAACGUCACAUGA